rnacentral:rRNA from 1 species
GCAUAUCAAUAAGCGGAGGAAAAGAAACCAACAGGGAUUGCCUCAGUAACGGCGAGUGAAGCGGCAAAAGCUCAAAUUUGAAAUCUAGCACCUUCGGUGUUCGAGUUGUAAUUUGAAGAUGGUAACCUUGGGUUUGGCUCUUGUCUAUGUUCCUUGGAACAGGACGUCAUAGAGGGUGAGAAUCCCGUCUGAUGAGAUGCCCAUUCCUAUGUAAGGUGCUAUCGAAGAGUCGAGUUGUUUGGGAAUGCAGCUCUAAGUGGGUGGCAAAUUCCAUCUAAAGCUAAAUAUUGGCGAGAGACCGAUAGCGAACAAGUACAGUGAUGGAAAGAUGAAAAGAACUUUGAAAAGAGGGUGAAAAAGUACGUGAAAUUGUUGAAAGGGAAGGGCAUUAGGUCAGACUUGGUGUUUUACGAUUAUCUUCUCUUCUUGAGUUGUGCACUCGUAUUUCACUGGGCCAGCAUCGAUUCGGAUGGCAAGAUAAUGGCAGUUGAAUGUGGCUUCACUUCGGUGGAGUGUUAUAGCUUCUGCUGAUAUUGCCUGUCUGGAUCGAGGGCUGCGUCUUUUGACUAGGAUGCUGGCGUAAUGAUCUAAUGCCGCCCGUCUUGAAACACGGACC